GUGCCAGCCGCCGCGGUAAUACGUAGGUGGCGAACGUUGUCCGGAUUCACUGGGCGUAAAGCGCGCGCAGGCGGACUGAUAAGUCAGAGGUGAAAUCUCCCGGCUCAACUGGGAGGGGCCCUUUGAUACUGCCAGUCUUGAGGCACCUAGAGGAGAGUGGAAUUCCCGGUGUAGUGGUGGAAUGCGUAGAUAUCGGGAGGAACACCAGUGGCGAAAGCGACUCUCUGGGGGUGACCUGACGCUGAGGCGCGAAAGCGUGGGGAGCAAACGGGAUUAGAUACCCCCGUAGUCC
rnacentral:rRNA from 1 species